GCUCCCUUCGUCUAGUGGCCGAGGACGUCGGAUUUUCAAUCCGAAAAUCACGGGUUCGAAUCCCGUAGGGAGUC
rnacentral:tRNA from 1 species